GCCUCAAGCAAUACACAGGCAUUUCUGGCUCUAGAUCUUGAAGUUCACAACCAUUUCCACAGCUGCCUCGGUGCCCAGCAUGCUAAGGAUGUCGACUAGGCAGCCUUCCUACUGCUCAGAAAAUUUCACUCCUGCAGCUUCUUGGCUGGUUUUGAGGAAUCGCUAUGUGAGCAGGGCGCAGAUUAGCAUAAGUGUCACAUUCUGUGGGCUUGCCCGCUCAUUUCUCAGGCAUUGCUUAUGCUGGGGAUUUCUCAACUGGAUAAUAAGAGGAAUAUGGCCUACACAUGCGGAGCGGGCACAGUUUUCUGCAGGCAGUGUGGAAUAAAUCUCACCUGGAGGAGAGCAUGCCUUCACUAAACACUAAGGAUGUCAUUUGGAAGUUUCCUCAGAAGAUGGCAGUUAAGCAUCCACCGCACUUCGCAUUUCUAGAGAACUAUUGUUGACUUUCAGAUUCCAAAUUUUACAACAGCCAAGCUAUUUGGAACAAACCCGUGUUUGUCCACAGACCUGACCCAUUCAAAACGGAAUAACAGCUCUAGUUCGCAUUUUUUUAAUCUCUCACUUUCUGCUCUGUUGGAGAAAUUAUGUCUAAGACUGAAAUGAUAUUUAGAAAUAAAGCUGUUUGUCAAGUGUGUGUGUGACAACCAAACUGGUGGGUCAUUACCUUUAGCACCGACACAUGCCUCUCUAAUCAUCUUAGCUCGAUGUUGAAACUUCACUGUAGCCAGGAACGGAGGGUCAUGAAUUUGUUUGAUCUGGUUCCAACCUGGGCAGAGAAGGUUUGGGAAAGCCAGUCACUCUCCUGUGGGGUCAGAACAGGGGAAGGAUGCACACUGUAUAAAACCUUGCAAAAGAUACAUACAGACGGCAGGCCCUUGCCUCCAUAGCGACCUGUCUGGAGGAGUCAUCCCACAGAACUAGCGAAAUGAGCUAGUGAACUGGCAAA